rnacentral:lncRNA from 1 species
CACGACUAUAGUUCAAUAUACUUGUUUUUGGCCUUUGAUUUAUUAUGAUUUGAAUUGUAUUGUUAUGUUCUGGUGAUUUUAGUUAUGAUAAUCUUGAUAAGAAAGAAGUUCAACUUAUUAGUAACUUGGUUCUUAUACUCUAGCAAUUCAGGAUUAUGUUUCAAAUACAUGUACCGGAAAAUUUGUAAUUUUGCUUGGAGUUAAUGUCUUUUUUACUUGUUUUUGGGUUAAAAGUUGGUCAAGUAAUUUUUUCCUUGGGAGAUAGAAACUGAAGUUGAUUCAUAUAAGGCCAACUUUGCUACUGUUAAUAUGUAAACCGCAUGAUGACAUACACAUAUGAGACAUUUGAAUUAGAUAAUGAUGCCGCAAAAGUUCAUAAUGUAACCUACAUAUGGAAGACCAAAAUGUAGCAGGCUCUUCAUCAGAAACAUAGAAGAGGCUGAGCCAAUCUUUCACCUCCAGAGCAUUCUCUCCUUGAGAAGAAAAGAUUGUCCCAUAACUUAUGAGUUGCUUUCUUCAUAUUGUCCAACACAGUCAUUUGUAUCCCAGGAUUGUUAAUCUAAAAGAAACCUUCUUUUCUCUGCUGCACUGCAUGUCAUAUCUACC